AACAAACGCUGGCGGCGUGCAUAACACAUGCAAGUCUGACGGGAAAGUUGGCUUCGGCUGGCGAGUACCGUGGCGAACGGGUGAGUAACACGUGGGUAAUCAAACCUUGAGUUCGGGAUAACCUUGCGAAAGCGGGGCUAAUACCGGAUAAGACCACGCCCACCACGGUGGGUGUGGUAAAAGGUGGCCUCUUCUUGAAAGCUGUCACUUGAGGAUGAGCCCGCGGCCUAUUAGCUAGUUGGUGGGGUAAUGGCCCACCAAGGCGACGAUGGGUAGCCGGCCUGAGAGGGUGUACGGCCACACUGGCACUGAGACACGGGCCAGACUCCCACGGGAGGCAGCAGUGGGGAAUUUUGGACAAUGGGGGAAACCCUGAUCCAGCAAUGCCGCGUGUGUGAAGAAGGCCUUCGGGUUGUAAAGCACUUUUGUCAGGAACGAAACGGUGGGGGCUAAUACCUCCUGCUAAUGACGGUACCUGAAGAAUAAGCACCGGCUAACUACGUGCCAGCCGCCGCGGUAA
rnacentral:rRNA from 1 species